rnacentral:rRNA from 1 species
GGGGGGGGGGGGGGGGGGGGCGGGCGGGGGGGGGGCGGGGGGGCCGGGCGGGGGGGGGGGCGGACGGGUGGGUGCCCCGUGGGAGCGUGCCGUUAGGGUCGGGAUAACGCAGGGAAACGUGUGCUACUACCGAGUGGGCCCUUCGGGGGCAAGAGUAAUCGCCUUUACAGCGGCCCGCGUCUGCUUCGCUAGUUGGUUGCGGUAAUGGCUCACCAAGGCGACGAACAGUAGCUGGUCUGAGAGGAUGAUCAGCCACAGUGGGACUGAGACACGGCCCAAACUCCUACGGGAGGCAGCAGUGGGGAAUCUUGCGCAAUGGGCGAAAGCCUGACGCAGCCAUGCCGCGUGAAUGAGGAAGGUCUUAGGAUUGGAAAAUUCUUUCACCGGGGACGAUAAUGACGGUACCCGGAGAAGAAGCCCCGGCUAACUUCGUG